AUUGAACGCUGGCGGAAUGCUUUACACAUGCAAGUCGAACGGCAGCACGGACUUCGGUCUGGCGGCGAGUGGCGAACGGGUGAGUAAUGUAUAGGAACGGGCCCAGUCGUGGGGGAUAACGUAGUGAAAAUGACGCUAAUACCGCAUCCGCACAACGGAUGAAGACGGGAGAUCGCAAGACAUCGCCCGAUUGCAGCGGGCUAUAUCAGAUUAGGUAGUUGGUGGGGUAAAGGCCCACCAAGCCAACGAUCUGUAGCUGGUCUGAGAGGACGACCAGCCACACUGGAACUGAGACACGGUCCAGACUCCUACGGGAGGCAGCAGUGGGGAAUUUUGGACAAUGGGCGAAAGCCUGAUCCAGCCAUUCCGCGUGCAGGAAGAAGGCCCUCGGGUUGUAAACUGCUUUUGUACAGAACGAAAAGGUUUCUACUAAUACUAGGAGCUCAUGACGGUACUGUAAGAAUAAGCACCGGCUAACUACGUGCCAGCAGCCGCCGUAA
rnacentral:rRNA from 1 species